CGUAUGAGAUGUGGAUUUUAAAGACCCACUGCAGCACUGAGUGGUCGUUGGCUACAGUGAAGAAUCUUCUGUCCAGGCUCCUGAUGCUGCCAUAUGCCAGAGCUUCUUCAGUUCCAAGCCCGGUUUUCUGGGCAAGCACGGCUCCAAGGCCCAUGUCACUGGCAUCAGUGUAAAUGUGACACUUAAAAAUGUGACACUUAAAAAUGUAUGGUCACAAUUGUUAGGUUGGAAUUGCUAUUUUAUGUAUUUUUCUGUGAAAAAGGGCCAGAUUUAAACAUGUUUUCAUUAUGGAUUUAAGCUUUAUCUAAAAGUAAAGUGUGCUCCUUCUGCUCCACCACAAGAGGGAGUAGCUACCAAAACAAGCCCUAGUUGUAGACUGCGUAAGGCUUCCUUCCACAGACAGGGAACAGCCUGCUGAAUGAACACAACGGACAUCUCUUUUCUCUGUUUUUCCUGUAUAAAACAGGACACAUCAUCUGUUCACAGGUAACUCAUGUCUGAGGCCAGUAACAUAAACAACAAAAUGGAGGUCAAAGCUUAAAUGCCCUUGGAUGAGUGGGGAGACCAGACACAUUUUCAGGGUUUCAAAAGUAGACUGGCACUCAGAUAUCCACUUGACUCUGGCUCCCUUGCACUUCAGUGCAUUCAGGGGUUCUGCCAGCUGAGGGGAAGUUUAGGACAAACCAGUGGUAUCAGCCAAUGCUACCAGACAUGCUUAAGAACCACUGGACUGCCUUAAAGUUAGUUGGCACUGGGAAUUCCUCUACUGCCUUGGUUUUGUCUGGAUCUACCUGAAUACCUAUGGCAGAUACAAAGUCACCCAGGAACUUCAGGGAGGUUUGGAAGAACCUGCACUUUUCCAUGUUGAUGGUCAGCCUUGUAUCUCUCAGUUUUUGUAAAACCACCCGGAGGUCACUAAAGUGCUGUUCCCAAGAUGGAGAGUAGAUGAUGAUAUCAUCCAGGCACUGCACUAACCACAGUUAAGGUUGAUGGUGGAGAAAAUAACAGAGCCAGCAAGAAUGAGUACCACAGGAGAUGCCCAAGCCAAAGAUGAGGGUUUGAUGAUGUCAGCUGCCAGCAUGUCCACCACUAGCUCCUUCAUCACCUUGAGUUUCACUGGGGAGACUCGCUCUGCAUCCAGGCUGGAGAGGAUAGGAUGAGCAGCACUCAUAAAAGGAAGUAAAAGUAAAGCAGGCCCUUCCCAGUCCAUUUGGUAAAGUAAUUAGUGUCCUUUUUUCCUGCUGUUGCUCCUGAACCAGUACAAAUUCUGUCCAACAUCCAUUUGCAGUCCACUGAGACUCAGGAAGUUCAGCCCCAGGGCUGUGGGAAAGGCAAGGCUUUGGGAUGAAAGCACUACCACUGGCAGAGUACAGGUAUGAUCCUGCAGUUCCACUACAAUGUAGUAGUAAUGCUACCCCGCAUUAGCAAGGCAUUAUGUUUGUGAAAGAGACUUUUCAGAUUCAAUCACUAACGAUGAAACCAGGAAAUCCCCUGAUAUUUGAAACCUAGGAGUAGAGGCAUUGUUGCCGUUUACCAUCACCAGGGACAGGUAAAGGUGUCAGGAAACAGUUGCUCAGAUUGCUCAGUUGCAUCAGUUAGGCUGAUGAUGUCACAUGACUACACUCAGUGCUCUCCCCAUCAGGUAAACAACUUCAGUUACCUAAAAGCUUUUAGACCACUGUUCAUUGAAGGUUUCUAUCUGCAAAUUGUAAGUAGUUUUUCAAUAAGAAGGUUGUGCGCAUAUUUACUUUGGUCAAUUAUCUCAGCUUUUUUACAGUAUAUUGUCCAUAAGCGAAUGUCUUAUAUACAAGAUACAAAAUAUAUUGGCAAAUAUUGGACAUCUUCCUUCUUAUAGAUAUUUCAGUCCAAUAAUCUGAUAUUGGAGAUCUGCUAGGUUGUUUAAAAAUCUGUCCAGUAUCCACAAGAAACCCAAAUAUAAUUGUGACUGAGCAGGGACAUGCACAGAAAUUUUAAGAGAUAGUGGCAACUGACUGUAUUGUCCCCAUACCCUGAUGCUGGAACACUAUAUAAUAUAUAAUGAUACACAUAGACACAAAAAUGCACCUGUUGUCCAUAAAUUCACAACUACUUCCAACUUUAAUAAAAGAUAUGGAGACAAACCAACUUUAACCUCAUUAACUAGUAUGUCCCUUGCUCCCUUUAUUGCCUCACUACAUCACACCUCUUGUGAUCUUGUUUUAAUCUGAAAGACUUCAUGUUAAUAAAAAUAUGGAGUCUCCAGGUGUCUUUUUUGGAAA